UACAAACUAAGAUGAAAUAUACUCAUAGUCCAAACAGAGUGCAAUAUCUUUGUUUCAUUACAAUCAAUUCAUUACAUUUAAAAUAGGAGCUUCACACAACCUAACUGUUCCAUCUCCCAAAUUCUAAUUACAAAAUUUUCCUAUUUAGGCAUCUUCUUGCACAGAGAUGGUUCCAAAGUAGAAAAAUCAAGGAAUCCCAUAUGGUUAUCAAAUAAAUCGGCGGUUUGCGUCUAACAUUUUGAGCUUCAUUUACAAGAGUCCUCAACUUGCUCAACAAACCAGGAAUCACUUGAAUGGCUCUCGGUUGCAUCGGACCCGCAACCAUGAGGUUGUCAAAAAAGAAGUAUCAACAUAGCUGGGUGAUGACAAUAGCAGUGAUUAACUGCGGCCAUUUAAAUUGACUCUUUCCGGUGUUGGGGAUGCGGUGCAUGCAACAUAAUCAAAAUAAAUCAAAUGAACAAAAAAAGGAUAUACACUUAAAAUAUACAUCACAAUAAAUCCUGAGUUAUGAGCAAAUACGGUCAAACUGAACAGAAAAAAGAUACAUAGGGGCUUUCACAUGGCAAGUGAAAUAGUGGACUACUCCAUUCAAAACUAAUAGAACGCAAGAAAAAGCUGUCAACAUUUUUAACAACCAAGCUCUUCAUCGUUUCGCAUGAAUAUGAUACCUAAGUAAAAUUCAUUCGAAUAAGUCGCAUGAAAAUAAAUUCUUAAACUUCCAGCUUUUUUGUUAGGCUAAGACUCUAGCUCUAGCAUAUGAGACAUACUCAUACGCCAUUAAAUAAUAAUAUAAAGCCAUUAGUACCCAUAUGUAGUUAAGCACUUUCUUAAGCAAUAAAUUGAAAUCUAAUCUUAUGCAAGAUGUUUCCAGCUUAUCACUGCAGAUAUAUAUAGUCAGGUGAAUUAAAUUAAUAAUACAUAGAAAUUGAUAAGAAUUAAGGCAAUAUCUGUAGACAUGUCUUAAUUGAUCUGAUCUGAAAAACGAAUAAGAUGUUAUUUUAGUAUUAAAAAAACAAUUAGAUAUUCAGUUGUGUAUGAUGCAUAGACUACGUUGUAUUCACUGUCUUUGCUUUACAAAAUUCUUCUACAUAUUCUAAAUUACACUCGGAUCUCCAACUUAAAAAUUGUACAUAUACAAAACGCAGAGAGCAGAGUAUGAAUGUAACCUCGGAGGAAGAAGCAGAAGCAGAAGCAGAAGCAGAAGCAGGGGAAAAGAUACAUAGGGGCUUUCACAUAGCAAGUGAAAUAGGGGACUUUUUCAAGUGUAAGCAAUAGAGUACUCUAAAG
rnacentral:lncRNA from 1 species